GUCUAGCUAAAAUCUUUGGGUGCGCUGAUAUUAAAUUCGGAAACUACGGGAGUAAAUAAGAAAUAUAGCCAAAUAUAGGGGCACUUAUCUCUAAGAGGUGAAAAUAAAUAAAUAAAACGAUUAAUUGCUUUGCCGUCCGUCGGGAGAUCGAGGGCUAGGGCAGGACGGAUGAAAGGGAGCGGCGAAGAACAUACGGGCUUAUUAUGGAAGCUUCCGGAGUUUAAAUCCAAUCAUUUAGGAAAGCUUGGACCUGCGUUUGGCGUUGGCGCGGGUUGCGGUUUCGGUUUCGCCAUCGGACUCAUUGGAGGUUUUCUCUUCCUGAUGCAGGAACUGGCUUCGGCCCAGGAACUCCUGGGUUACAGCUUGGAUUUGGAUUUGGAGCUGGAUGCGGGGUUGGUUUGGGUUUCGGGUACGGUCUGGGAAGAGGAACUGCAUAUGACGGGAAGCGCAAAUUCUCCAACGUUGGAAAAUUUCUUCACGACCCUAAUGUUCCUUUGCACUUUACUGAGUGGUCUCUUUGGAGGACAGUGUGCUUACUGAAGCGAUUAUGAGCGUGUCAUGAAUGAAGUUGGGAGGAACUUAUAACCUGUAUAACCAUAGUGACGAGAUCAGUGCUCUGGUUGAUGAGCUGGUUGUGAAUACGAAAAAGCUAAUUCAAGCAACCUCCAGGGAGGUGGACAAAUGGAGAAGAUACUGAGAUCCUCACAGUAACAGCAUUUUAAUCAGAUUUUGUGCAUGAUGUACUGUUUCCUGUUGGUCGGCUACUACCUGAGUUGAUGAUCUUAGAGAGAUGCCUGUGUUUGCUAGAAAAUAUACAUUGUAUUUGGCUUGCUUGCGCUAGUAAAAAUGGAUAAUGCAAGUUGCAACUUCUUGCC